GUAGGUGAACCUGCGGAAGGAUCAUUAACACGAAUUUUAUCCAAUAUCAAAACCAACCGUGAACUUUUCCCCUCCCUGUAAGUUGAAAGCUUCAUCGCGAUUAACUUACAGGCUAACCCCCUUUUUUUAAUUUUAACCCCUAUUAACUCUUUGUUUUACCUAUUCUUAUAGGCCAAAACAACUAACUAAAAAAUUGACUAAGACCCAACAAUUUAUUUGUUGUCCUCUUAUUUAUAUUUUUUCUAUUACGAAAUAAUAUUUACUAAAGAACAACUCUUAACAAUGGAUAUCUUGGUUCUC
rnacentral:misc_RNA from 1 species